CACAGCAGAAAGGAGUCCGGGAAGGUACAGCUUCUGUUUCUUUCCUUCAGAGGAGGAAAUGACUUCCUAUGGCUAGCUGACCAGGAGUUAGUGCUCACCCCUGCCUCUUGCCAGGACCCAGAACGAGGACCUGGAGCAUACCCAGAUGAGGAUCAGAACGCAGCUUCAGCUCCUCCAACAAAUGAAACUGACAGAAUGAAACCUGAGAAACUUUAGCAACCAAAGAAAGCAGCCUUCCAAGGAUCAAGCUCGAUGCAAAUUAAUCCUUGAACUUGGAAGUCACAUUUGAAGAUGGAGGAGCCACAUACAGCAUAAAAAAAGUAUCUGAAUCAUUGCCCUGAGAAAAGUUAAAACAAGUUUUGGACUUGAUGAAAAAGAAAACAAACUUCUGUUGUGUUUAAACCAUUAUUCAUUUUGAGAUUUUAUUGUUACAAGAGCUAGUAUUAUAACUAAUAUAUUAUAGUUAUAGUUUUAACUCUUCCAAAUUGAGUAAAAUAAAUUGACUAUGGAUUGGCUGACCAUGCUGGGUCAGGAAAGGUCCAGCCAUUCCUUCAAUACUGUCAAAAAGUCAUUGGACAAUCUGAGGAGCAUAUGCAACUUCUAAAUAGCUUUCACAACAGGGGAUCAGGAUCUGAAUCCUUGUUCUCCCCUCCAGUCCUCUCAGGAAGGGCCAAAUUAACAGCAGGCAACAUGCAAUCAGACCAUGAGCACUGGUAGGGUGUGGAGAAAACUCAGUCAGCCCUGUGACUGUUGCUCUGCACUUCUGUCCUGCUCUCCUUCAUGGAGGACAAUGUACCCUAUUCUCUUAUUUGAUAAAAAGGGAAAACAGUACAAAUCAAAUAUUGUGACUCAAUCAGAUUAUGCACCACCCUUGCUCAGUGCUUUCUAAAACAGCAGACUUCAUUUUGUUACUGUAGAAAGCAAAGAGAGCUAUUAGCUCUCCUGGCGAAUAACGCCAAAUUAUUUGAUUGUUAUUGUCUCUCAUUCAGAAGAUUGGUUGUCAGAAGGAAAAGGUCUGAGUCAUGCUGUAGAAAAGGUGAACAGAGGAUAUGCAACCACCACCAAAAGGUGGCAGAGUGGAGAGGGAACAACUACUGUGGAGAGAGGGGAUCUCAGGUUUAUGAGCCCCUUCCCUCUGUCAAAUGGAGCCAACAAUGCCUUUCUACCCUUUCUCUCAGGAGGACACUGUGAAGACUUUACCAGUGUAAAGUGAAAGUACAUUCAGAUAUGAUAAAAAUAGUUAAUGAUUCCUGAGUAUUUCCAGUGAAGUUCUUACAUAUUGCUUGUUUAAUCUUCUGAACAAGCUUAUUACAUUAGUGUUAUUAAAAACUAGCCCCUCUUAUGAGAUAAGGAAACUGAGGCUCAAAGACAUUAAACAAAGCAGCAUCUCCAUGAUCAUCUAGGUGGCAAGGAGCAGAGCUGGGACUCGGAGACCUGAGAGUCGCCAAAAGCUCACAUCUCUAACCACCAUAGCCUUCCCGACUCUGUGCCAAUGAAAUGCACACAUCACAGUGAAUGGCACUUCUGCUGGAGAAUCUAGAAUGCCCAAAGCCAAGAUGCCUACCCUUGGCUCAUUCCACAGGCAGUGUCCUACAAGGUGGCUUGUACUCAGGCAUAUGAAGGGCCUGAGAAAAUAAUGAAACAGAUAGGAAAAAGGGAAGAACAAAGACUACUGUCUUGGGCUCCAGAGACUAGGCUGCCUAAACACAAUUCAUAAAGUCAUUCACGGACUCAGACCUCAUAGAUUUUGAAUAUCAGAUCAUUGAAUCUGACGUGAACUUCUAGAGAGAAAGCAUCCUUUCUUGCUGAAAACAGUUUCCCUUCUCCAGCACAGAAUCAUAAAGAAGAAAGAAUCUGAAUUUCUCCCUGCUUCCUGCUUGCCUGAAAGUUUCUUUUUUCCCUCAAACUCACAGUCCCAUUGUUUCUCUUAUUUCUUCUUAGUAUGCUCUAUUUAAACCAGAUGGAGCAGUAGCAUUUUGAAACUAGUCCCGAAGCCCAGGGGACUUGCAUCACAAAUAAAUAAACAAAUGAACAAUUCAGCAAUUGGUAAAUCAGGCAGAAUGAGUUUAACAACUGAGCUGGAAAAGUAGCUGAAAAUCUAUUCCCUGAUGAAAGAUCUGAAUGUGACCCAGGUUCUCUUCACCUAACAGGUAACCACACUGACUUCUUUCAGCAAACCAGGGACUGAACAGAGAAGCAGUGGGGAGGCAGUUAUGAACAGCUCCACAGAGAUAUUUGGUGGCACUCUGGCCACCCUGUAUUACCAGUAGGCUGAUACAUUAUCCCAUGGUUGCUAUGAAAUAUUUGUUCACCACCUAUA